rnacentral:lncRNA from 1 species
CGGAUCCAGGAAUUUAUUAGUGGGUGGUCACCUUUUAAAAUCUUAAAUUAAAAUUAAAUUAAAAUUCAAUUUUUUUAUGGCCCCUUAUAGGAAGAUUCUGUUUGCCACAAAGCAAAAUACACUUGCAUAUAGAUUUCAAAACAGUUCUGUUUGCUUUUAUACGUUCAUUCAUUGCUUUAUCAAUAAAUGUUUGAAUAUCAGUAGUCCUUUGCUCAAUGUUGUCAAGAAAAAGUUGAGCUUUUGCUCUAGCUUUAGUAUGACUUUUUUUACAUGGUUUCUCAUCACGGCCGAAAUGAUCGUUAAGUCUUGUACUUGCAUGUGCCAUAUCUGUUAGUGGUUUGCAUGAUAAUGUUCCAAAACUAUCAACCCCAAACAGAGCACAGUAUAUGCAGUAAGCCCCUUCUUGUGAAGGUGAGUACACUAGCCCAUCAUAUCGAUUUAGCCAAUUCAGCUGAAACAGUCUGUUCUUUCCUGCAUAUUUUUUUUAUAGGAAAGUUAUA